AGUCUCGCCGUCGCCCGUCGCUGCCUUCGCCAUUUUCUCCCGUUGCCCGGUCAGCCCGGUCAUCGAAGUUUCCGAAUUGCUCAGCUGUGCCGGCUGUGCGUGCCCGUGUCCUGUGUGUGCGCGACUCUGAUCUCAACGCUGGACGUGAACGGCAUUUAGCGACGGCAGUGCAACAUCGCGUACUGUGAGCGUGUUCGUGUUGGUUUCAUGAUGGUCUGAAGACUCAAGCGUGCUUGCACCUUCGUGUAUUCGUGUUCGGCCAGCACCUGGUUAGGCACAGUCGGAAAUGCGAACGAUGGUGCUCAAGAUGGCACAUGCAACGCUAUGCAGCUGUGGACACCAGCAGCUUGAUAAGAACUCUUGAAGCUCAUCUGGAUGCUUCACAGAACCUGGGAAGACUGAACACUUUUGGCAAAGCAGCAACAGUCCUGGCCCACCUGUUUGUCUACAAGACGGUCUCUUCUGUGAACACUCCUGUGCCUUACAGUAUACUAUACUGAUGAUCUUGUACAUCUCUCAGUAUUUAGGAUUGUCAGCACUUGGACUGCUGCACUGUGUUAUGCACGGUGCUGAGUCCAAACUUUCCAAUAACAGUAUGCAUUUGAAAAUUUUACAUGGCUUGAAAAGAUGCUGAAUGUAAACUCAUUUAAUUUACUAAGCAUGGUUCUUUACUGUUUUACAGCCGUUAUUUAUUCCCUGGUCAAUUUUUAUUCAACCUCAUGGCAUGUCCAGUCCUUGGCUCUAAUGUGCCAAGCCACCACCAGUAUUGAUGGGCAAUUUUUAAUUCAAAGCAUGUUAUUGCCUAACUCCGAGGUAACUUUCCUGUCACGGUAUUCGCGGAUUCAUUUUCAAUGUGGCACUUCUGCAUGAGCCAUAAAUUGAGCUGUUGAAGGUGACGAGGAACCAAUUUUCCGGUCGCAUUUCAUGGCACUAGCGGGCAUGUAAAUAUUGUAACCAUUGGUCUACUAUUUAUGCAUAAUAAUGCGGGUGAAUAGGGUUGCGAAAUAAUGCCAUGUUCCCAAGCUUAACUUUAUAAAUUUACAUUAUUUCUUAAAAAUAUGUGAAUAAAGGCGACUGUGUUUACAAACCUUGGCAGAUGGAUCUAUGGUCGACACCACAGGUCUUUAUACAAAACAUUGAACUGCACAAUCAUGCGUAACAUGUUUUCAUGCCUGAGGGCAAACUAAUGCUAUAUAUAAGAAAAAUGGUACACCACCAUGCCUAAGUGUUGCAAGCCUUUAUUACUUAUCGAGUUGCCUUCAUGUGUA